AGCGAACGCUGGCGGCAGGCUUAACACAUGCAAGUCGAGCGGGCACUUUCGGGUGUCAGCGGCGGACGGGUGAGUAACGCGUGGGAACGUGCCCUCUGGUUCGGAAUAACUCAGGGAAACUUGAGCUAAUACCGGAUACGCCCUUUUGGGGAAAGGCUUGCUGCCGGAGGAUCGGCCCGCGUCUGAUUAGCUAGUUGGUGAGGUAACGGCUCACCAAGGCGACGAUCAGUAGCUGGUCUGAGAGGAUGAUCAGCCACACUGGGGCUGAGACACGGCCCAGACUCCUACGGGAGGCAGCAGUGGGGAAUAUUGGACAAUGGGCGCAAGCCUGAUCCAGCCAUGCCGCGUGAGUGAUGAAGGCCUUAGGGUUGUAAAGCUCUUUUAUCCGGGACGAUAAUGACGGUACCGGAGGAAUAAGCCCCGGCUAACUUCGUG
rnacentral:rRNA from 1 species